rnacentral:rRNA from 1 species
AUUGAACGCUGGCGGCAGGCCUAACACAUGCAAGUCGAACGGUAACAGGAAGAAGCUUGCUUCUUUGCUGCCGAGUGGCGGACGGGUGCGUCAUGUCUGGGAAACGGCCUGAUGGAGGGGGAUAACUACUGGAAACGGUAGCUAAUACCGCAUAACGUCGCAACACCAAAGAGGGGGACCUUCGGGCCUCUUGCCAUCGGAUGUGCCCAGAUGGGAUUCGCUAGUAGGUGGGGUUACGGCUCACCUAGGCGCCGAUCCCUAGCUGGUCUGAGAGGAUGACCGGCCACACUGGAACUGAGACACGUUCCAGACUCCUACGGGAGGCAGCAGUGGGGAAUAUUGCACAAUGGGCGCAAGCCUGAUGCAGCCAUGCCGCGUGUAUGAAGAAGGCCUUCGGGUUGUAAAGUACUUUCAGCGGGGAGGAAGGGAGUAAAGUUAAUACCUGUGCUCAUUGACGUUACCCGCAGAAGAAGCACCGGCUAACUCCGUG